UAGCAUUGAGAAUGUUUACUGGGAGACGUC
rnacentral:piRNA from 1 species